rnacentral:rRNA from 1 species
GGAUCAAUAUUUCGGUCAUGCCGUUGGUAUGCACUGUUAUCAUUGAUUUCUCACCUUCUAAAGAACCGUAAUGCCAUUAAUUUGGUGUUACGCGGAAUUAGGACUGUUACCUUGAAAAAUUAGAGUGUUUAAAGCAGGCUCACGCUUGAAUACAUUAGCAUGGAAUAAUGAAAUAGGACAUCCGAUUCUAUUUUGUUGGUUUCUAGGAUCGAUGUAAUGAUUAAUAGGGAUAGUUGGG